rnacentral:rRNA from 1 species
AUUGAACGCUGGCGGUAGGCCUAACACGUGCAAGUCGAACGGCAGCACAGUAAGAGCUUGCUCUUACGGGUGGCGAGUGGCGGACGGGUGAGGAAUACAUCUGAAUCUACUUUUUCGUGGGGGAUAACGUAGGGAAACUUACGCUAAUACCGCUUACAACCUCCGGUUGAAAGAGGGGGAUCUUCGGCCCUUGCCCGUUGGAUUGUGCCGAUGUCGGAUUAGUUAGUUGGCGGGGUAAAGGCCCACCAAGGCGACGAUCCGUAGCUGGUCUGAGAGGAUGAUCAGCCACACUGGAACUGAGACACGGUCCAGACUCCUACGGGAGGCAGCAGUGGGGAAUAUUGGACAAUGGGCGCAAGCCUGAUCCAGCCAUACCGCGUGGGUGAAGAAGGCCUUCGGGUUGUAAAGCCCUUUUGUUGGGAAAGAAAAGCAGCAGGUUAAUACCCCGCUGUUCUGACGGUACCAAAAGAAUAAGCACCGGCUAACUUCGUG